AUUGAACGCUGGCGGCAGGCCUAACACAUGCAAGUCGAGCGGAGCGGCGGACGGGAGAGUAAUGCCUAGGAAUCUGCCUGGUAGUGGGGGAUAACGUCCGGAAACGGGCGCUAAUACCGCAUACUAUCAGAUGAGCCUAGGUCGGAUUAGCUAGUUGGUGGGGUAAAGGCCUACCAAGGCGACGAUCCGUAACUGGUCUGAGAGGAGGAUCAGUCACACUGGAACUGAGACACGGUCCAGACUCCUACGGGAGGCAGCAGUGGGGAAGAUUGGACAAGGGGCGAAGGCCUGAUCCAGCAAUGGCGUGUGUAUGAAGAAGGCCUUCGUGUUGUACAGUACUUUCAGCGGGGAGGCGUUACCCGCAGAAGAAGCACCGGCUAACUCCGGGCCAGCAGCCGCGGUAAUUC
rnacentral:rRNA from 1 species